CUACGGGGCGCUGCAGUGGGGAAUAUUGCACAAUGGGCGCAAGCCUGAUGCAGCAACGCCGCGUGAGGGAUGAAGGCCUUCGGGUUGUAAACCUCUUUUAGCAGGAAGAAGCGAAAGUGACGGUACCUGCAGAAAAAGCACCGGCUAACUACGUGCCAGCAGCCGCGGUAAUACGUAGGGUGCAAGCGUUGUCCGGAAUUAUUGGGCGUAAAGAGCUCGUAGGCGGUUUGUCACGUCUGCUGUGAAAAUCCAAGGCUCAACCUUGGACUUGCAGUGGGUACGGGCAGGCUAGAGUGCGGUAGGGGAGAUGGGAAUUCCUGGUGUAGCGGUGGAAUGCGCAGAUAUCAGGAGGAACACCAAUGGCGAAGGCACAUCUCUGGGCCGUAACUGACGCUGAGGAGCGAAAGCGUGGGGAGCGAACAGGAUUAGAUACCCCUGUAGUC
rnacentral:rRNA from 1 species